rnacentral:rRNA from 1 species
UGCCAGCCGCCGCGGUAAUACGGAGGGGGUUAGCGUUGUUCGGAAUUACUGGGCGUAAAGCGUACGUAGGCGGUCUUUUAAGUUAGGCGUGAAAUCCCCGGGCUCAACCUGGGAAUUGCGCUUAAAACUGGAAGACUAGAAAACGGAAGAGGGUAGUGGAAUUCCAGUGUAGAGGUGAAAUUCGUAGAUAUUGGGAAGAACACCAGUGGCGAAAGCGGCUACCUGGUCCGAUUUUGACGCUGAGGCGCGAAAGCGUGGGGAGCAAACAGGAUUAGAUA